CUAGCACAUUUCAGGAGAUAGUCAGUUCCCCAACGGAUGUUCUCACGUGCGUUUUUGAGCUCAGGACCCAUCCGCUUACCGUACUCAAGCGUGCUCCAUGAAAGCAUAGUGGUGGUAAACGCCAUUGGGAAGUUGAACUUGAUGUUAUCUCCCGCGUCGUAAUACCCACCAGGUGUACAUGAGCGGUUGAACCAUCAGAAAGGCCGGAGCUAGCCCUCCAGGAGACUUGCUGGUCUCUAGGGAGACGACCUGAUCGCUGACCUUGGAAGAAGAGCAAUGACUUGGAGAGUGCUUCUCUGUAAUUUGGAUUAGCUUCAACAUUUCUCGUGAGAAUAGGCGAGGAAAGGAGAACUAAAAAGAACAGAGAAGUCAUUGUCCAAAGACGGAGAAGUUGAGUACUUUAUGAGUUUUGAGGUACGAAUCUAUGAUGUGAAGGUCCACAUAUUUAUAUACAGGGAAAGUGUGAGAGAGAGGGAUUUGAUCCGGCGCUGAUGGAAGCGAUGAAUACGGCUUUUUGGGAGAAAGUGGCCUUAAUUAACCUUAAUUUCUCCAAUCUAAACCUUUUUCUGGUUAAAUUGUUAGAUUAAUUUAUCCGACCAAGUCCCCUUUUUCUUUAUCUGUCUACUGAUUACCUUAUAUGUUUAUCCAUUUAAAUUCCUCUUUUUAAUGUCAGCUGAAUGUUUUCGUAAAAUGUUGAAAAAUAGAGAAUUUUAUGACGGAAAAUGGAAUAAAACUAGGUUUGCCAUUAGUAGGAAAUGGAAUUAAGGCUUAACGGUCUCCUGUUUCCUAAGAAGCAAGUAGUAGUAUUUGUUUAAAAACCGGUACAUGAAUUACGGAAAUAUUUGAUCAAAAAAAAAAAAAAAAAUUACGGAAAUAUAAACGCACGUUAAGACUUUGCGUCUGCCUGAACGUUACACUGUGAUGGUCAAAAGCCAAAUUCAAAAGUGGGGUUGUUUAAUAAGAUUAUUGAUUUUAGGGAGAUUUGUGAAGUAAAGUAUUAUAUCAUUAUAUUGUUUGAUACUGUAUAUUUUUUGAUAAUAAUAAAGAGGCUAUUGACCCGUAGAUCUGAAUAUUUCGUUAGAACGAAGUUUAAACCAUAUAAUUUAAUAUCUAGUAGGGGAGUAUAUUUCUCCUGAACAUGAGCAGCCUUAUAUUACAAAAUGAUAGUAUAACCAGUGCUAUAUCUGUUAUUUUUAUAUGAUGCUUAGAGCAACCACAACGCUGUAUUUAUCGAAUCCUUAAGCCCAAAUUCUUAUGGGUUUUCGAUUUUAAUAAUAAUAAAUGGGCUCGGGUUAAGAAGGAUUAAUCCUUAUGGAAGAGGUUUUCGAUACCCAAUCCUUAUCGACGUGGCAAACGAAGCCGGUAUAAUCUCGAGUUAUUUUGUCGUCAAAAAAUCAUUCGGUCACGAAAAAAAAAAGUUCUGAUUCCUCGUAAGGCGAUUCCGAUCCUCGGUGUAGAUCAGCUAAAAUCAGUGGCUUCCUCUCUUGAUUCGUAGGUUUAUUCGAUUAGGGUUUCUUCUUGGGGAGCUUGCAUGUCGAUUUCAAUGUGAUUUCGAUUUAAUUGAAAAUAUUUGGAACAAAUUUGGGGAUGAAAAUUAAUAAUUAUUGUAAUUUUAUAUGUUUAAUCAUGUAAUAAAUAAAUAUAAAAAAAUUAUCUUAUUUUUCCAUGUUUUAAAAUUUAUUAAUUUUUUAUUCUUACGGAUUCCAUUCCUGGUAACACCAUUGGACAUACAAAUUUUAUUAGAAUCCUAAACUCUUAAAAAAAAAAUAGUAAAAUAUAUAUUUAAAGACUCCAAUAGUGGAAACACCAUUGGAGAUGCUCUUACAUUAUAUUUUCACUUUUAUAAAAAGAAAAUCAGAAGAGACUCAAGUUAUACUACCAUUUAUGAAAUAAAA